UGGGGAAUCUUAGACAAUGGGCGCAAGCCUGAUCUAGCCAUGCCGCGUGAGUGAAGAAGGCCUUAGGGUCGUAAAGCUCUUUCGCUGGGGAAGAUAAUGACUGUACCCAGUAAAGAAACCCGCGUACAUCCGUGCCAGCAGCCGCGGUAAUACGGAGGGGGGUUAGCGUUGUUCGGAAUUACUGGGCGUAAAGCGCGCGUAGGCGGAUUAGAAAGUUAGGGGUGGAAAUCCCAGGGCUCAACCCUGAACUGCCUCUAAAACUCCUAAGUCUUGAGGUCGAGAGAGGUGAGUGGAAUUCCGAGUGUAGAGGUGAAAUUCGUAGAUAUUCGGAGGAACACCAGUGGCGAAGGCGGCUCACUUGGCUCGAUACUGACGCUGAGGUGCGAAAGCGUGGGGAGCAAACA
rnacentral:rRNA from 1 species